UAAUACGGAAGGUCCAGGCGUUAUCCGGAUUUAUUGGGUUUAAAGGGAGCGUAGGCCGUCUGUUAAGCGUGUUGUGAAAUGUAGAUGCUCAACAUCUGAAUUGCAGCGCGAACUGGCAGACUUGAGUGUGCGCAACGUAGGCGGAAUUCGUGGUGUAGCGGUGAAAUGCUUAGAUAUCACGAAGAACUCCGAUUGCGAAGGCAGCUUACGGGAGCACAACUGACGCUGAAGCUCGAAAGUGCGGGUAUCGAACAGG
rnacentral:rRNA from 1 species